UGCAAGUCGAGGGGUAACAGGAGAAAGCUUGCUUUUUUGCUGACGACCGGCGCACGGGUGCGUAACGCGUAUACAAUCUACCUCUUACUGAGGGAUAGCCCAUGGAAACGUGGAUUAAUACCUCAUAGUAUUAUUGAUCGGCAUCGAUUAGUGAUUAAAGGUUACGGUAAGAGAUGAGUAUGCGUCCUAUUAGCUAGAUGGUAAGGUAACGGCUUACCAUGGCAACGAUAGGUAGGGGUCCUGAGAGGGAGAUCCCCCACACUGGUACUGAGACACGGACCAGACUCCUACGGGAGGCAGCAGUGAGGAAUAUUGGACAAUGGGCGAGAGCCUGAUCCAGCCAUGCCGCGUGCAGGAAGACUGCCCUAUGGGUUGUAAACUGCUUUUACAGAGGAAGAAACCCCUUUACGUGUAAAGGGCUGACGGUACUCUGCGAAUAAGGAUCGGCUAACUCCGUGCCAGCAGCCGCGGUAAUACGGAGGAUCCAAGCGUUAUCCGGAAUCAUUGGGUUUAAAGGGUCCGUAGGCGGAUUUAUAAGUCAGUGGUGAAAGUCUUCCGCUUAACGGGAGAACUGCCAUUGAUACUGUAGAUCUUGAAUUAUUAUGAAGUGGUUAGAAUGUGUAGUGUAGCGGUGAAAUGCAUAGAUAUUACACAGAAUACCGAUUGCGAAGGCAGAUCACUAAUAAUAUAUUGACGCUGAUGGACGAAAGCGUAGGUAGCGAACAGGAUUAGAUACCCUGGUAGUCUACGCCGUAAACGAUGGUUACUAGCUGUCCGGCCUAAUUGAGGGCUGGGUGGUUAAGCGAAAGUGAUAAGUAACCCACCUGGGGAGUACGUUCGCAAGAAUGAAACUCAAAGGAAUUGACGGGGGCCCGCACAAGCGGUGGAGCAUGUGGUUUAAUUCGAUGAUACGCGAGGAACCUUACCAGG
rnacentral:rRNA from 1 species